rnacentral:rRNA from 1 species
GUCCCGGGGAAAGGUUGUAGGCAGAUUGCUCAGGUAAAUCCGGGUGGUCGUUAAUGCCGAGAGCCGAGACCACUGCAGCUUGUCUGCGGGAAGUUGCUGGUGCCAUGCUUCCAGGAAAAGCCUCUAAGCUUCAGGUGAUGUGUGUCCGUACCCGAAACCGACACAGGUGGUCAGGGUGAGAAACCUAAGGCGCUUGAGAGAACUCGGCUGAAGGAACUAGGCAAAAUGGCACCGUAACUUCGGGAGAAGGUGCGCUGCUGGGUGUGAAGGGUUUACCCCGUAAGCACUUGGUAGUCUCAGUGAAAAGGCCGCCGCGACUGUUUAUUAAAAACACAGCACUCUGCAAACACGAAAGUGGACGUAUAGGGUGUGACGCCUGCCCGGUGCCGGAAGGUUAAUUGAUGGGGUUAGCGCAAGCGAAGCUCUUGAUCGAAGCCCCGGUAAACGGCGGCCGUAACAAUAACGGUCCUAAGGUAGCGAAAUUCCUUGUCGGGUAAGUUCCGACCUGCACGAAUGGCGUAACGAUGGCGGCACUGUCUCCAGCCGAGACUCAGUGAAAUUGAAUUCGCCGUGAAGAUGCGGUGUACCCACUGCAAGACGGAAAGACCCCGUGAACCUUUACUAUAGCUUCACAUUGGACUUUGAACCUGCUUGUGUAGGAUAGGUGGGAGACGUUGAAACCUGGACGCUAGUUCGGGUGGAGUCGACCUUGAAAUACCACCCUGGCAUGUUCGAGGUUCUAACCUGAGUCCGUAAUCCGGAUUGGGGACAAUGUGUGGUGGGUAGUUUGACUGGGGCGGUCUCCUCCCAAAGAGUAACGGAGGAGCACGAAGGUACGCUCAGCGCGGUCGGAAAUCGCGCACAGUGUGUAAUGGCAAAAGCGUGCUUGACUGCGAGACCAACAAGUCGAGCAGGUGCGAAAGCAGGUCAUAGUGAUCCGGUGGUUCUGUAUGGAAGGGCCAUCGCUCAACGGAUAAAAGGUACUCCGGGGAUAACAGGCUGAUACCGCCCAAGAGUUCAUAUCGACGGCGGUGUUUGGCACCUCGAUGUCGGCUCAUCACAUCCUGGGGCUGAAGCCGGUCCCAAGGGUAUGGCUGUUCGCCAUUUAAAGUGGUACGCGAGCUGGGUUUAGAACGUCGUGAGACAGUUCGGUCCCUAUCUGCAGUGGGCGUUGGAGAUUUGAGAAGAGUUGCUCCUAGUACGAGAGGACCGGAGUGAACGAACCUCUGGUGUUCCGGUUGUCACGCCAGUGGCAUUGCCGGGUAGCUACGUUCGGACGGGAUAACCGCUGAAAGCAUCUAAGCGGGAAGCCCCCUUCAAGAUGAGAUCUCCCUGGAGCCUAGAGCUCCCUAAAGGGCCCUUGAAGACUACAAGGUUGAUAGGCGGGAUGUGUAAGCGCGGCGACGCGUUCAGCUUACCCGUACUAAUUACCCGUGAGGCU